rnacentral:rRNA from 1 species
UACGAAGGGUGCAAGCGUUACUCGGAAUUACUGGGCGUAAAGCGUGCGUAGGUGGUGAGUUAAGUCUGUCGUGAAAGCCCCGGGCUCAACCUGGGAAUGGCGAUGGAUACUGGCUCGCUAGAGUGCGGUAGAGGGUGGUGGAAUUCCCGGUGUAGCAGUGAAAUGCGUAGAGAUCGGGAGGAACAUCAGUUGCGAAGGCGGCCACCUGGACCAGCACUGACACUGGAGGCACGAAAGCGUGGGGAGCAAACAGG